rnacentral:rRNA from 1 species
UACGGAGGGUGCAAGCGUUAUCCGGAUUUACUGGGUUUAAAGGGUGCGUAGGCGGGCCCUUAAGUCAGUGGUGAAAGCUCCGAGCUUAACUCGGAAACUGCCAUUGAUACUAUUGGUCUUGAAUACCGUGGAGGUGAGCGGAAUAUGUCAUGUAGCGGUGAAAUGCGUAGAGAUGUGGAGGAACACCGGUGGCGAAAGCGGCUCUCUGGUCCGGACCUGACGCUGAGGCGCGAAAGCGUGGGGAGCAAACAGG